GAUGAAGAACGCAGCGAAAUGCGAUAAGUAGUGUGAAUUGCAGAAUUCAGUGAAUCAUCGAAUCUUUGAACGCACAUUGCGCCCUUUGGUAUUCCUUAGGGCAUGCCUGUUCGAGCGUCAUUUAAACCUUCAAGCUAAGCUUGGUGUUGGGUGACUGUCCGCUUCACUGCGGACUCGCCUCAAAAUUAUUGGCGGCCGGUACAUUGGCUUCGAGCGCAGCAGAAACGCGAACUCGGGCCCGUCGUAUUGGCUCCCAGAAGCUAUCUUCACAAUUUUGACCUCGGAUCAGGUAGGGAUACCCGCUGAACUUAAGCAUAUCAAUAAGCGAGGA
rnacentral:misc_RNA from 1 species